GUCUACGGCCAUACCAUCCUGAACGCGCCCGAUCUCGUGUGAUCUCGGAAGCUAAGCAGGGUCGGGCCUGGUUAGUACUUGGAUGGGAGGUUCACUCUGGCAAUGAGCAGGAUUCCUCUCUGGAACCCAAGAGGGACA
rnacentral:rRNA from 1 species